CUGCCCGUAGCUCAACCGGAUAGAGCACCAGCCUUCUAAGCUGGGGGUUGUGAGUUCGAGUCUCGCCGGGCAGGCCA
rnacentral:tRNA from 1 species